GAUGAACGCUGGCGGCGUGCCUAAUACAUGCAAGUCGAGCGAACAGACGAGGAGCUUGCUCCUCUGACGUUAGCGGCGGACGGGUGAGUAACACGUGGAUAACCUACCUAUAAGACUGGGAUAACUUCGGGAAACCGGAGCUAAUACCGGAUAAUAUAUUGAACCGCAUGGUUCAAUAGUGAAGGACGGUUUUGCUGUCACUUAUAGAUGGAUCCGCGCCGCAUUAGCUAGUUGGUAAGGUAACGGCUUACCAAGGCAACGAUGCGUAGCCGACCUGAGAGGGUGAUCAGCCACACUGGAACUGAGACACGGUCCAGACUCCUACGGGAGGCAGCAGUAGGGAAUCUUCCGCAAUGGGCGAAAGCCUGACGGAGCAACGCCGCGUGAGUGAUGAAGGUCUUCGGAUCGUAAAACUCUGUUAUUAGGGAAGAACAAAUGUGUAAGUAACUAUGCACGUCUUGACGGUACCUAAUCAGAAAGCCACGGCUAACUACGUG
rnacentral:rRNA from 1 species